GUAGUUGCCCGGCCGGGAGAGUCGGCGGGACGAGGCCAGAGUCGAGAAGUGGAUCCGAGGACGCGAGGCCUUGGAAGAGUCUGAGAUGAAAGAAAACUGCCGCAGAGCUCUGUUAUCAAAGCAAAGCACAACCCAGCACUGCAUUUGAAAUAACUCCAGCAAACACUAUGCCUCCUGCACAGAACUUGUUGGGUUACUCCCACAAAUGUCACAGGUGUGGUCAAAAAUAGGCUGAAUGCUGCUGCAGAACACCAUCCAAAGGAAAGGGAGCUCAUACAAACAGUACAGCAUGUCCUCAUUCACCUUGUUCAUCAGAUCUGGCACCAUGCAGCUUCUGGCUCUUCAUCAAAAUCAAAAUGGUCAUGCAAGGUAAACAUCUUGAGCCAACUGAGGACACUGAGGAGCUAUAACAGUGUGAUUCAAGACACUCAUGAAAGAGGACUUCCAGAGCUAUUUCUUCAGGAAGUGGCAAGAAUGAUGGGAGGUUCCAGUGAGCAAUGAAGGGACGUGUGUAAGCAUCCAGAGAAGGAGAAACCUGCGGGUAAAUUUCCAGGAGGUUGGCAGCUUGGACCAAAUGGUGUGCAGCCUGAAUCCCAGCCAUGGAGGCUGGUGCUUGAACCUUGCUGAGCAGCACCCCAGGCAGUGGCAGGGAAGAAGAGGACAGAAGGGAGGGCAGUGGGUGUCAUUCCCAUGAGUCCCAGGGACGCGGCCCAACUUUGUGAAGAGCGUGGCUGUGCGUGUGAGCUGACGGGAUGUUUUUGACCAGGGUUCUCAUGAGAGUUGUGUGCAGACAGCAGUGCUUCAGGGCUAUUGCAGCCAGAUGGGGCUAGCCCUGGGAAGCACACAGCAAAGCACCCAUGCCUCUCAGGUGCUGUCACCUGCAGCAGCUUGGAGGAAGAAGACUUUAAAAUGUGUUCCUCCUGGGGCUGGGGAUUUAGCUCAGCGGCAAAGCACCUGCCUGGCAAGUGCAAGGUCGUGAGUUCGGUUCCCAGUACCGGAGAAAAACCAAAAAAAAAAAAAAAAUGUGUUCCUCCUAAACACAUUCGAGAAACAUAUAGAAGUAACAACUGUUGUCAUUUCUACAGGGCACUGACUUCCUGAUGGUGAGAGAUAGCAAGUCAGCAAAGUUCAGGGGCUGCCUAUUUAUGAGACUUCUUUGCAGCACUUACAAAGGGUCGCUUGGGAUCCUGUGCUAUUAAUCUUCAUCAUCAAGUUGACUGGAUUGAGAAACUCGUGGAGGGGUGAUUGAUUCUGAGGGCUCAGAUCCCAUCACAUUUGAAUGGGCUAUUAGUAGGUGGGGCCUGAUAGAGGAAAUGGGUCAUCAGGGUGUGACUUUGGGGACUGUCCUGGUCCCUGGCCCCUUUCUCUGGCUCUUUCCAACUCACUCUGCUUCUCAGCCACCAAGAACUGAGCAGCUGUCCUCCGCCAUGCCCCUCUGCCAUGAUGCCUUUGCAGCAGAGCCACCAGUCAAGUGACUCAUCUGGAACUAUGAGCCAAGUCAAACCGCUCCUCCUUUAAGCUGCUGUGUCAAGUAUUUUGUCCCAGCAAUGGGAAAGCUGUUUAAUAAAGAUUCUAAAAUAUA